GACGAACGCUGGCGGCGUGCUUAACACAUGCAAGUCGAACGGAAAGGCCCUGCUUUUGUGGGGUGCUCGAGUGGCGAACGGGUGAGUAACACGUGAGUAACCUGCCCUUGACUUUGGGAUAACUUCAGGAAACUGGGGCUAAUACCGGAUAGGAGCUCCUGCUGCAUGGUGGGGGUUGGAAAGUUUCGGCGGUUGGGGAUGGACUCGCGGCUUAUCAGCUUGUUGGUGGGGUAGUGGCUUACCAAGGCUUUGACGGGUAGCCGGCCUGAGAGGGUGACCGGCCACAUUGGGACCGAGAUACGGCCCAGACUCCUACGGGAAGCAGCAGUGGGGAAUAUUGCAACAUGGGCGGAAGCCUGAUGCAGCAACGCCGCGUGCGGGAUGACGGCCUUCGGGUUGUAAACCGCUUUCGCCUGUGACGAAGCGUGAGUGACGGGAAUGGGUAAAGAAGCACCGGCUAACUACG
rnacentral:rRNA from 1 species